rnacentral:misc_RNA from 1 species
GAAAAAGAGAGUAAUGUUAUAAAUAAUACACAGCCAUCAUCCGAUUUCUAUCUCAUUUUACAAUGAAACCACAAGAUUCAACCGCAGAAAGGGAAAAUAAGCUUAAAUACUGCAUCCGUGGCGCUCACUUCAUUUCCGUCACUUCUGUAAAUGCAGCUCUAACACAAGAACUCGGUCGGUUGUGCAAAGAUUGGCUAACAAUGCAAACAAACCGCCAGGUCUUCCAUUCAAAACUUAUAAAUCAAAAAGCGAAGAGAAAAGAAAAAGUAAAGUGCUACCAGAUCAGCCCUGAUGAAUGAGUGACCCUACCGAGUCUUCGGUCUAGCUAGAAUCAUAUUGUCAUGUGAAUUAUCCCGGAUUGUGUUUUAAGUGCCAACAAGUAAUGGAUUUUUAUCCUUGUACAUCUGAUAUCUUUUGCAGAGUUUCUCUAAUGUUGCUACAGAAUGCUGCAUCUUAUUGAGUUUUGUGUCCAUGAACAUGCUCUGAUAAUCAUCUCCAUACUCCUCCACAAGCCUGCUAAUAUAAACUCGUUGUAUGGUAGUCAGUGGUUGCAGCGGGGCACUUUUUCCAUCCCUUCGUUUCUUCCCAAGUGCUGACUUAAGAUCGUCUUCCUCAACGUCACUGCCAGAAUCAUCCAAAUCCUCAAACGCAUCGGCAUCAUCAUCAUCAUCCUCAGAGGUAGGUGGCAGCUUCUUCGGCGGCGGAACUUGAAGAGAGUCAGUUUCAAUCAUAUGAGAGGUCCGGCAACGAACACCAAGCAAAUUAGGGUUCGAAACGACGCCGAAUGACUUGUAAUUAUCGAUUACGCUGCCUUUAUCAUCCCAAUGAGAGUUGACCAGUGACCGGAGCUUCGAUGGAAGAGAAAACGCCGGUUUGAACACAUUAGGGUUCUUCUUCGGCAGACCCACUCUCACUUUUGUUCUUGAUCUCUUGUACUUCCGCCGUGAUCCACCCAUCUCUGUGUGAAAGAGGGGCUAGGGUUUAAGGGGAUUGUGC